rnacentral:rRNA from 1 species
UACGAAGGGGGCUAGCGUUGCUCGGAAUUACUGGGCGUAAAGGGAGCGUAGGCGGACAGUUAAGUCAGUGGUGAAAGCCCAGGGCUCAACCCUGGAAUAGCCUUUGAUACUGAUUGUCUUGAGUAUGGGAGAGGUAUGCGGAACUCCGAGUGUAGAGGUGAAAUUCGUAGAUAUUCGGAGGAACACCAGUGGCGAAGGCGGCUCACUGGUCCAUUACUGACGCUGAGGUGCGAAAGCGUGGGGAGCAAACAGG